GCGUGAGUGACUUCUGGAGACAGUUCCUGGUCGAGUCGAAAAAGCUCUGGUACCUCGCCGGCCCGGCCAUCUUCACCUCCAUAUGUCAGUACUCUCUCGGCGCCAUCACUCAGACCUUCGCCGGUCAGCUCGGCACCAUCGAGCUCGCUGCUGUGUCAGUCGAGAACUCUGUCAUCGCCGGUUUCACUUUCGGCGUCUUGUUAGGAAUGGGGAGUG
rnacentral:misc_RNA from 1 species